CCUGAUGCAGCAACGCCGCGUGAGGUAUGAAGGCCUUUGGGUGUGUGAAGCCUCUGUCCUAGGGGAAGAAAAAAAUGACGGUACCCGAGGAGGAAGCCCCGGCUAACUACGUGCCAGCAGCCGCGGUAAUACGUAGGGGGCAAGCGUUAUCCGGAAUUAUUGGGCGUAAAGAGUGCGUAGGUGGUCUACUAAGCGCGAGGUGAAAGGCAAUGGCUCAACCAUUGUUAGCCUUGCGAACUGGCAGACUUGAGUGCAAGAGAGGAAAGCGGAAUUCCUAGUGUAGCGGUGAAAUGCGCAGAUAUUAGGAGGAACACCGGCGGCGAAGGCGGCUUUCUGGAUUGUAACUGACACUGAGGCACGAAAGCGUGGGUAGCAAACAGGAUUAGAUACCCUGGUAGUCCACGCCGUAAACGAUGAGCACUAGGUGUCGGGACAUGAGUCUCGGUGCCGCAGUUAACGCAAUAAGUGCUCCGCCUGGGGAGUACGCACGCAAGUGUAAAACUCAAAGGAAUUGACGGGGACCCGCACAAGCAGCGGAGCAUGUGGUUUAAUUCGAAGCAAGCGAAGAACCUACCAGACUGACAUCCC
rnacentral:rRNA from 1 species